rnacentral:rRNA from 1 species
UACGUAGGGGGCGAGCGUUACCCGGAAUCACUGGGCGUAAAGGGAGCGUAGGUGGCCUGACAUGUCGACUGUGAAAACCCGGAGCUCAACUCCGGACUCGCAGUUGAAACUGCCAGGCUUGAGGACGGUAGAGGAAGACGGAACUGCCAGUGUAGGGGUAAAAUCCUUAGAUAUUGGCAGGAACGCCGGUGACGAAGGUGGUUUUCUGGGCCGGUUCUGACACUGAUGCUCGAAAGCCAGGGGAGCGAACGGGAUUAGAUACCCGUGUAGUCCCUGAGCGGGCU